AUUGAACGCUGGCGGCAGGCCUAACACAUGCAAGUCGAGCGGCUCGGCGGACGGGUGAGUGAUGCCUAGGAAUCUGCCUGGUCGUGGGGGAUAGCGUCCGGAAACGGGCGCUAAUACCGCAUCCUAUCAGAUUAGCCUAGGUCGGAUUAGCUUGUUGGGGGGGUAAAGGCCUACCAGGGCGACGAUCCGUAUCUGGUCUGAGAGGAUGAUCAGUCACACUGGAACUGAGACACGGUCCAGACUCCUACGGGAGGCAGCAGUGGGGAAUAUUGGACAAUGGGCGAAAGCCUGAUGCAGCCAUGCCGCGUGUGUGAAGAAGGUCUUCGGAUUGUAAAGUACUUUAAGUGGGGAGGCGUUACCCACAGAAUAAGCACCGGCUAACUUCGUGCCAGCAGCCGCGGUAAUAC
rnacentral:rRNA from 1 species